CCUGGCGGCAGUAGCGCGGUGGUCCCACCUGACCCCAUGCCGAACUCAGAAGUGAAACGCCGUAGCGCC
rnacentral:rRNA from 11 species